AGACAACACUUUAUAUCAGGGAUGCACCGAAUCCAGGAUCCAGCUUCGGACUCGGCUGAACAUUGGGCUUUUUGACGGGGUUAGGUUUCUGCCAAACUCCCCCGAAAUCGACGCUUGCGCUACGCUGGUUGACGUGACGCCGCCGCCGUUGAUGACGGGAGAGUGUUUACGUAGGU